rnacentral:rRNA from 2 species
GCUAAUUGUAUUACAUAAUACAAUAUCGAUUUAAUCGAAUAAAAUUCUGGGUAGAAUUAUGAUGAUGACAUUGUUUACCUAUAUUUCUUGACCAAAUUACGUGCCAGCAGUCGCGGUAAUACGUAAAAGAUCAGUGUUAUUCAUCUUUAAUGGGUUUAAAGGGUACCUAGACAGCAAGCCAAGCCUACCUAAGGCACUAGUUUGCUAGAGUUACUAAUGAGGGGGCACAAAAGUACUGCUGGUGUAGAGAUGAAAUUCGAUGAUACCUUUUUUCGAGAGAAAAAUAAUGGCACAGGUUUAGGCAAAAGCAUCCCCUUAUGAGAUAACUGACGUUGAAGGACGAAGGCUUUGUGUAGCGAACAGGAUUAGAUACCCUGAUAGUCGAAGCAGAAAAUGAUGAGUGUCAUAGAUUAGAUAUAAAUUUAUUCUAUAAAUGAAAGUGUAAGCACUCCACCUCAAGAGUAAUUUGGCAACAUUGGAACUGAAAUCAUUAGACCGUUUCUGAAACCAGUAGUGAAGUAUGUUGUUCAAUUAGAAAGCACGCAAAAAACCUUACCACAAUUUGAAUAUUUAUAUUUAGCAAGCAAACCAGACGGAUAUAUUUACAAGCGUUGCACGGCUGUCUUCAGUUAAUGUCGCGAGACUUUGGUUAGUUCCAUUAAAUUAACGUAAACCCUUACUUUAUUUUUACAUAAAGUAGUUCCCCGCUACACUGGAUAUGAUAACAGGGAUCAAGGCAAGUCAUCAUGACCUAUAUAUUGUGGGCUAUAGACGUGCUGCAUAGACCAAACAAAAGGAUGUGAAAUUGCGAAAUUGAGCUAAUCCCUUAAAAUUGGAUACAAUCUGUUA